rnacentral:rRNA from 1 species
UACGGGGGGGGGCAAGCGUUGUUCGGAAUUACUGGGCGUAAAGGGCUCGUAGGCGGCCAACUAAGUCAGACGUGAAAUCCCUCGGCUUAACCGGGGAACUGCAUCUGAUACUGGAUGGCUAGAGGUUGGGAGAGGGAUGCGGAAUUCCAGGUGUAGCGGUGAAAUGCGUAGAUAUCUGGAGGAACACCGGUGGCGAAGGCGGCAUCCUGGACCAAUUCUGACGCUGAGGAGCGAAAGCCAGGGGAGCAAACGGG